rnacentral:rRNA from 1 species
AGAGUUUGAUCCUGGCUCAGANNNNNCGCUGGCGGCAGGCCUAACACAUGCAAGUCGAGCGGUAGAGAGAAGCUUGCUUUUCUUGAGAGCGGCGGACGGGUGAGUAAUGCCUAGGAAUCUGCCUGGUAGUGGGGGAUAACGUUCGGAAACGAACGCUAAUACCGCAUACGUCCUACGGGAGAAAGCGGGGGACCUUCGGGCCUUGCGCUAUCAGAUGAGCCUAGGUCGGAUUAGCUAGUUGGUGAGGUAAUGGCUCACCAAGGCGACGAUCCGUAACUGGUCUGAGAGGAUGAUCAGUCACACUGGAACUGAGACACGGUCCAGACUCCUACGGGAGGCAGCAGUGGGGAAUAUUGGACAAUGGGCGAAAGCCUGAUCCAGCCAUGCCGCGUGUGUGAAGAAGGUCUUCGGAUUGUAAAGCACUUUAAGUUGGGAGGAAGGGCCAUUACCUAAUACGUGAUGGUUUUGACGUUACCGACAGAAUAAGCACCGGCUAACUCUGUGCCAGCAGCCGCGGUAAUACAGAGGGUGCAAGCGUUAAUCGGAAUUACUGGGCGUAAAGCGCGCGUAGGUGGUUUGUUAAGUUGGAUGUGAAAGCCCCGGGCUCAACCUGGGAACUGCAUUCAAAACUGACAAGCUAGAGUAUGGUAGAGGGUGGUGGAAUUUCCUGUGUAGCGGUGAAAUGCGUAGAUAUAGGAAGGAACACCAGUGGCGAAGGCGACCACCUGGACUGAUACUGACACUGAGGUG